rfam:Nematostella vectensis strain CH2 x CH6 NEMVEscaffold_39_Cont6463, whole genome shotgun sequence.
GGCUCAGUGGUCUAGUGGUAUGAUUCUCUCUUUGGGUGCGAGAGGCCACGGAGUUCGAUUCCCGUCUGAGCCC